UACGUAGGGUGCAAGCGUUGUCCGGAAUUAUUGGGCGUGAAGAGCUCGUAGGCGGUUUGUUGCGUCGGCUGUGAAAUCCCGAGGCUCAACCUCGGGUCUGCAGUCGAUACGAGCAAACUAGAGUGUUGCAGGGGAGACUGGAAUUCCUGGUGUAGCGGUGAAAUGCGCAGAUAUCAGGAGGAACACCGAUGGCGAAGGCAGGUCUCUGGGCCACUACUGACGCUGAGAAGCGAAAGCAUGGGGAGCGAACAGG
rnacentral:rRNA from 1 species